UUGUGAGGGUCGCUCCCUACAAGCCGGCACUCCGGAGUUGGCCAUCGCGAUUCAUAUUCGCCGUGCGGGAUUGGGCGCCGAAGUGGAUUGCCGUGGGACAGGCUCAUUCCUAGGGUGGGAAUGAUGACUACCACGGGGCCAUUAGGCUCGGCACCGGCCAGACAGCCUUCGGGUGGGUCUCAGGGCCAUAGACAGCCUUCGGGUGGGUCUCUUCAGAUUUGACUUGAGUGUUCAUUAUGAUAUGUGGACAGAUGAUGACUUAGAGUAUUACUUGGACAUUGACUAGAAUAGUAAACAACGGAACUUUACUAUUUCACAUUGUGAACAUCAUGAUAGUUGGAGACUUUUACUUCUUGCAUAGUUGCUUUCAUACUUAUGCUAUUUAUGCUAAGUAGAGAUAUCAUGUCGUAGUAGGUUACAUUUUUACUUACCUUUCGC
rnacentral:lncRNA from 1 species